ACUGAAAUGCAAAUGCGUGAAUGCGAAUGGAUGUGUGGUGUGACAAGAAUGGAUAUGAUAAGGAAUGAAUAUAUAAGAGGAAGUUUAAAAGUAGCACCAGUGGUAGAAAAAAUGAGGAUUAAUAGGCUGGCAUGGUAUGGGCAUGUAAUGCGGAGGGAAG